UCUUCCUGUUCCUCCGGCUCCGGCUUCCCUCUUCCCUCCGCCUCCGGGGCCCCUCAGGGGGCAGCGGGCGGAGCAGGAGGGGGGAGUGGCCCUGAGUCAGCAGCCCCUGUGCCCAGGCCAGGGGAGGGGUCAUGUUCACCCACCCGCCGGGCAAGGCGCCCACCCCAUCAUGCUCCACCCCAAACGGAGAAAGAGGCUUAGCUGACACUAAAGAUGAAGAAGCCGGAUUCACAUACACAGCAGUGGCUGACCAAGAUGCCAUCACUAGGAAGUACGAAAACAAAGUUUGAAGCCAGGCACCUGGCUAUAUCACCACUUCCCAUCCAGCAGCAGGAUAUGGCUCCAGGUCCCAAGUACCAGGUGGAUUAUAUCUCUGCUCGAAUGGGAAGAAAUACCGGAGAUCCCUGAGUGGCUCAGUGGUUUGGUGCCUACCUUUGGCCCAGGGCGUGAUGCUGGAGACCCAGGAUCGAGUCCCACAUCAGGCUCCUGGAUGGAGCCUGCUUCUCCCUCUGCCUGUAUCUCUGCCUCUCUCUCUCUGUGUGUGUCUAUCAUGAAUAAAUAAAUAAAAUCUUUUAAAAAAAUAAACA
rnacentral:lncRNA from 12 species